rfam:Cryptococcus dejecticola CBS 10117 unplaced genomic scaffold supercont1.7, whole genome shotgun sequence.
AUCUACGAUCAUAGAAUCUAUAAAACACCACAUCCCGUCCGUUCUGUGAAGUUAAGCUGGAUAUCGCUCGAUCAGUACCAAGGCUGGGGACAACUUGGGAAUCUCGGGUGUCGUAGUUU